rnacentral:rRNA from 1 species
CCUACGGGUGGCUGCAGUGGGGAAUUUUGGACAAUGGGGGCAACCCUGAUCCAGCCAUUCCGCGUGAGUGAAGAAGGCCUUCGGGUUGUAAAGCUCUUUCGGCAGGAACGAAACGGUGAGCUCUAACAUAGCUCGCUAAUGACGGUACCUGAAGAAGAAGCACCGGCUAACUACGUGCCAGCAGCCGCGGUAAUACGUAGGGUGCGAGCGUUAAUCGGAAUUACUGGGCGUAAAGCGUGCGCAGGCGGUUGUGUAAGACAGGUGUGAAAUCCCCGGGCUUA